rnacentral:rRNA from 1 species
UACGAAGGGGGGCUAGCGUUGCUCGGAAUGACUGGGCGUAAAGGGCGCGUAGGCGGUUUGUACAGUCAGAUGUGAAAUUCCUGGGCUUAACCUGGGGGCUGCAUUUGAUACGUGCAGACUUGAGUGAGGAAGAGGGUUGUGGAAUUCCCAGUGUAGAGGUGAAAUUCGUAGAUAUUGGGAAGAACACCGGUGGCGAAGGCGGCAACCUGGUCCUUGACUGACGCUGAGGCGCGAAAGCGUGGGGAGCAAACAGG